CUCCACUGACGAGCUCCCUGUCGGGCUGUUGUCUGGGUCACUGAGCUGCAGUGAUGGAGCUGAGGGCCUGAGGAC